rnacentral:rRNA from 1 species
GACGUAGGGCGCGAGCGUUGUCCGGAUUUAUUGGGCGUAAAGAGCUCGUAGGCGGUUCGUCACGUCGGCUGUGAAAUCCCGAGGCUCAACCUCGGGUCUGCAGUCGAUACGGGCGGACUGGAGUACUGCAGGGGAGACUGGAAUUCCUGGUGUAGCGGUGAAAUGCGCAGAUAUCAGGAGGAACACCGGUGGCGAAGGCGGGUCUCUGGGCAGUAACUGACGCUGAGGAGCGAAAGCGUGGGGAGCGAACAGG